GGGAAGCUACGGGUGGGCCAGGGAAGGCUGGGCGCAGGGUUCCGGGCCAACGCGGGGCAGAGGCCCUGACGCUCCUCUCCAGGCUGCGCGUCCAUCCUCCGCCAGGCCCCGACACGAGCCACUGGCCCACGUCAAGCUGAACCGCCCCACAGGAGUUUGUAAUCCUGGGCUUCUCCGGGCGGCCCCUGGGGCCCCGGGUGCUGCCCUUCGCCCUCCUCCUGCCACUCUGUUUGGCCACGCUGGCAGGACACCUGCUGAUCCAGGGCCUGGCUGUGGUGGACGCCGCCCUGCACCCACCACGUACCUCUUCCUGGGGGCCCUGUCUGCCGAGGAGGCGGCCUACACGCCGGUGCUGACUGCGCGCGCGCUGGCCGGCCUCCUCCUGCCGCCUGGGGGCCGCCCAGAUGGGCCUCUGUGGGUCCGGCUGCCUGCUGCUGGCGGCCAUGGCCCUGGGCCGCCCUCGGCUCACAACUGCGGGGCUCUGCUGGUGCCUUCUCGCCGCCUGCUGCGUCGGGGGCUCUCUCCUGGCCUUGGGCCUCACCACAGCCAUCUUCCAGCUGCCCUUCCGCCAUGGGGGCUUAGUCCACCACGUCUUCUGCGACCUCCCGGCCGUGUUGGUGUUGGCCUCCGGGAACCGGGACCUGCAGGAGCGCGUCCUGCUGGCGGCCUGCCUGCUGCUGCCGGUGCUGCCUCUGGGCUGAUCCCCUCUCCUACGCCAGGGUGCUGCUGGUCAUCCUGGGGGGUUGCUGGGGCCGCGGGCCGCCGCAAGGCCUUCAGCACGGUGGCGUCCCAUCUCACGGUGGCCUGGCCAUGCUCCACGACGGCUGCGCCACGGCCGUGUACGCCAGGCCCCUGAGCAGCCACUCCCUGGAGGAGGACAGCCUGGUCUCAUUCAUCUACAUCAACCUCACGCCCCUGCUCUACCCGGCCAUCUACACGCUGCAGAACCGGGACGUGCAGGGGGCACUGCAGCGGGUGGUCGGCCCCAGGACACCAGGCGCCGUCCACCAGGCUGACGCCACUGAAUGCUGGAUGCCAGGUGGAGUCUGUUCUGAAAGCGCUCCACCACCCCCGGAUGGAAACCUCACAUUCCAGAACCAUCUGUGACUCCCCGAAGCCUACUGGACACAACCUGGGUGCAGCAGACAAGGACUCCAAAAUCAGGCUCCAGCCUGGUUCUUUGCUCCUAUUGACUUUUUUUUUUUUUUGAUGUGGACCAUUUUUAAAGUCUUUAUUGAAUUUGUUACAGUAUUGCUUCUGUUUUAUGUUUUUGGUUUUUUGGCCAUGAGCUAUGUGGGAUCUUAGCUCCCCGACCAGGGAUCGAACCCACACCCCCUGCACUGGAAGGUGAAGUCUUAACCACUGGACCACAGGGAAGUUCCUCUAUUGACAUUUUGAGCUGGAGAGUUCACUCUGGUGGCGGGGGGGAUUGUCCUGUGCAUUGUAGGGUGCUUAGCUGCACCCCUUGUCUCCACCCAGGAGAUGCCAGUAGCACACACCACUCCCCCAUCCAAGUUGUGAUGAUCAAAAGUGUCACCAGACAUUGCCAAACAUCCCCUGGGGACAGAAUCACCCCUGGUUGAGAACCACCGCUCUGAAUCGUAGCCACACAGACUCUAUUGAAGAGGAGUGAGUAAGGGGUCUAUGGCAGCACUGUUUAUAAUAGACAAAAACUGGAAAUUAUCCAAACGUUCAUGAACAUAGAAUAGAUACAAACAGCUUGUGGCAUAUUCGUGCAAUGGAAUACUACACAGCAAUGAAAAAGAAUGAACUACUGCUACUGGCAAAAAAAUAAGGACCACCCAGACGUAAUACUGAGUGUAAGAAGCAAGACACAAAGAACGCUUCUGGAUGCUUCCAUUGAAACAAAGGCCAAUGACAAACUCAUCUGUGGUGGUUGAUGUCAUCAUAGUGGUUAACUGGGGGAAGGGCUUGAAUUGGCCGAGGGUACAGGGAGGUUGCCUGGGUACUGGAAACGUUCUAUAUCUUGACUUGGGUGGUGGUUACAUGGGUGCAUGUAUGUACUAAACUUCACGGAGAUGCAUCCUUAAGAUCCGUGUAGUUUGUUGUACGUGAAAUGAACUGUGGCUGGUUCCAGCUAUUCACAAAGACAAGCCUUCAAAUCAUCAUGCCUUCACUCAUGCUGCUUUUUGCCCCUGGUACACUCUGUUUCCACUUAUGAAAAUCCCUUGUAUUAUUCAGUGAUCAGUCUAGAUACUGUACCUGCUGUAGGCUGAAGGUGUCCCCUCCCAAAUUCACAUGUUGAAAUCUAAUCCCCAUUAUUAGUUUGUUAUUAGGGGGUGGGGUCUCUAGAAGUGAUUAGGUCAUGAAGGUGGAGCCCUCCUGAAUGGAAUUAGUGCCCUUGUGAAAGAGGCCCGGAAGAGCUCCCUUGCCCCUUCUGCCCUGUGAGGACCCAACAAGAAAGCAGCUGUCUACGAGCCCGGAAGCAAGUUGUCACCACACUGAAGCUGCCGGCACCUUGAUCUUGGACUUCCAGCCUCCAGAACUGUGAGAGAUACAUUUCUGUUGUUUAUAAGCCUCCAGCUCUAUGGUAUUCUGUUGUAGUAGCCCAAACAGACUGAAACUGCACCCUUUCCUUCCUCCUCUCAGUUACAACAGUUGUCACUCUAAAAUGUAAUUUUAGCAUCUGCUUCACUUCCCAAUCACCUACCCACUCCCCCACUUCCCCACUCACAAUUAGGCUGUGAGCCCCAUAAAGCCAGAUUGCAGAUCCUGUUCUUAUAUUUUAAGAUCCAUGACCCUGGCAGUUCUUAAUAAAUGUUUGUUGGAGGAAUAAGCCAUAGACAAGCUCUGAGUUCUUUUGGGGUCGCACACACUGGCUGUAGGGCAGGGACGUAGCUCUCGAGUCCUGCCAAGGACAAGAAUCUCUAAGACUGACUCCUCUUUGGGGUCUUAGAGCAUCAGAGCUGGCUGUGAAAACCCCAGCUGGGCAGCUUGGACCCAACUUUCCAAUGCAGGGAGCCUUAGAAGCAACGCGUUUGUGUCUUGACAUAAUAAACUGCAUUCGGAAAACUUGAUAGCUCUGCUUGUACCCCCAAGGCCAGGGUCCCAGAUUCCGUGAGAGGGAACUUUUCCUAAAAAUGCCUCCUGAAGGGUCGGUCAGGAACUAGAAGUCUUAGAGCCAGGAACCGUGCCGGUAAAUACUGCCUACCUAACCUCCUGGCUGGAGAAAUCGCACGUCUAUGAAAACUGAUUCGAAGGCUGGGGAGAAUUGAUCUGUGCAGGCAACGUGGGACACCAGAAUGACUAUCAGCUGCCUCAGAAAUCUCCGCAUCUCCUGACAACCUGGUGGGGAGCCUUGGUGGGAGCUGUCAGGUUGCUGAGCACAGGUGGCUGCAGCUGCUUUGGCGUUGAGGUGUACAACACAAUGAUUUGCGAUUUGUGUACAUUGCAAAAUGAUCACCGUGACGACUGUAGUGAACAUCACUUCAUGUAAUUGCCAAAUUUUAUUUUCUUGUGAUGAGAACUUUCAAGAUUCACUCACUCAGCAACUUUCAAAGAUGCAAUACAGUUUCAAGUUUCAGCUUCUAAUUCUCUAUUACCUGCCACCCUGACAACUGACUUGGCCUUGGGGAUGUUACCAUAAAGGUCUGCAGUGGAAUCCCAGGCAGCCGGACUCAUAGGCGGCUGCUUCCCCUCAGGGUGUCCCAGUCAGCCUCACUAGGAUCCGGCUCACCCCCACCAGCGCAGAGGCAGCAGGAUCACCGGAGCUGGGACCUCGGAGCCUAGAACCAGCGCUUUGGUGAGUCGGUGGUGGCUGCGUGCUCGUGGCAGGGUGCAUCUCAGCCCUCACCUGCCCCGACAGGACCUUUCGGAAACCGUGGCCAAGUCGCCUAACAGUCGGCAGCUGGGUCUGUGCCUGGAGUGGGGAAAUACACCCAAAGUCUAACACCCACUGGGGGAGUUCACCCUCUGCGGGGUGGCAACUUCCACAGCCCGUUGGCCAGCCAAAGGCCUUUCUCCACCAGCCAAUUGCAAGAUUCUACCAUCCUGUUCCCAUCUGUGAAGACUUCGUGAAAUUAACACUUGUUAAGUGGAGCACAGGGUGCAGGACGAUGAGUGGGUUCAGCUACAGACCACGGAGAAAUCGAAAUAGGCAAGUUUAUUACUCACAGGGCCUGGACCAAGCACACAGCAUGCCUGGAGGGGCCCCAGGGGAGGUCAAGGCGGAGUGCAGACAGGGACUGGACUUGGCACACAUCCCUUUAUUAGGGUCCACGGGGGGAGUGCUCUGGGGUUUCUAGGUUAGGACCAGAUCGGUCAAUCCAAACCCAAAGAGCAGGGUUUUGGUAAGCUCACGGGGGUCCUGGCUAAGGGGCGCGUAAAGCUUACAGGCACUGGGAGGCAGGUGAGCUACUGAUCACAAGGGCUGCGGGACAGUCACACCAGGGACUUACAUCUGCUUGUGGCCGAGCGGCUGCUAUAGGGCAUGUCCUUGCACAAGGGGCUAGUGUCAGCUUAAGGUCCCUGCAGCCAUCUGACCAAACACGAUGGAUGACGAGGCAGCAAUACUAGAGAGCAGCUUAGCUAAACUCUGACGGGCUAAACUCUGGAUGGAUAUACAUCGAGUACAUCUAGAUGGGAACUUAUUUUUAGUGAUUCAGCUAGGCAUAUAUUGCAUGUCUAUAUAUGCAUAUAUAUAUACAUAUAUAUUGCACACACAUAUGCAUGUUAAUGCACAUCUUUUGUUAAAUCUGA